UGAGCGCAUCCCGACCGCGUAAACUAAAGCAGGAUGCCACUGCCCAGAUGGCCAUGCUGCAGUUCAUCAGCAGCGGCCUCCCUAAGGUGGCUGUGCCCUCCACCAUCCACUGUGAUCACCUGAUUGAGGCCCAGACCGGAGGGGUGAAGGAUCUGGCAAGGGCAAAAGAAGUGAACCAAGAGGUGUAAACAACUUCCUGGCCAGUGCUGGGGCAAAAUAUGGAGUCGGCUUCUGGAAACCCGGCUCUGGAAUCAUCCAUCAGAUCAUCCUGGAGAACUACGCCUACCCAGGAGUGAUGCUUAUUGGCACAGAUUCCCACACGCCAAACGGUGGUGGACUUGGUGCCAUCUGCAUCGGAGUUGGUGGAGCUGAUGCAGUCGAUGUCAUGGCAGGAAUCCCCUGGGAGCUCAAGUGCCCCAAGGU